GAUGAACGCUGGCGGCGUGCCUAAUACAUGCAAGUCGAGCGAUCAAACGCAGCUCUUGCUCCUCUGACGUUAGCGGCACGCGGGUGAAUAACACGUGUAUCCCCUCCCUAUCUGACUGGUAUAACUUCGAGAAGCCGGAGCUAAUACCAUAUACUAUGUUCAACCGCUUGGUUCAAGAGUGAAAGGCGUUUUUGCUGUCACUUAUACAUGCAUCCUAGCCGCAUUAGCUAGUUGUUAAGGUCUCGGGUUACCAUGGCAACGAUGCGUAGCCGACCUGCGAGGGUGAGCGGCUACACUGGAACUGAGACACGGUCAAGCGUCCUACGGGAGGAAGCAGGAGGGAAGUGGCGGAAAUGGGCGAAAGCCUGACGGAGUAACGCCGCGUGAGUGAGGAAGGGCUGCGGAUCGUAAAACUCUGUUAUUAGGGAAGAAAAAAUGUGGAAGUAACUAUGCACGUCGUGACGGUAGUGAAUCAGAAAGCCACGGCUAACUACGUG
rnacentral:rRNA from 1 species